CUAGGCACGCCUCCCAGCUGCAGGCAUGGAAAGGUCCAGAGUUUGACGGUCAACCUAUGUCAAGAUUUUUAUGGCUUGUUUCUCACAGGCUGGGCCAGAUGCCAAUGUGACACCCUUUGAUGUGACUGUGCAGAGUAAUAACCUGCUGUGUGACAACAGCAAUGGUGCAGGGAUGCGUGAUAAACAUCUUGUCUUUCCAAAGCAGUUGACCUGAUGGAGACAUCUUGAGCGGUAUAUGUGCUGCAAUGCUUCAAAGUUUACCCUUUAGAGUUUUUUUACCCUGAAAAAAAGACACAUGUCCAAGAUGGGGGUAACCCAACUUGAAUUCAUCCAAAUCCAAAGUUUCUGUAUGUAUCAAGCCCUAAUUUUGCCUGUGAGGUUCAGAAGUGUCAGGAAUUAUGUGGUGCAAAAAUUAUCGAUUUUGAUAAAAGUUGGCUGGUGUGAUAGGACACAGAUCGCCAUUACAACUUCCGUUUUUCGGUAGGGUUGUUACGAUUGUAGUUUUGUGUAUUUUAGGUUUAAAGUCUUUUUUUGCACCCAGGCGGCCAUGUUUGGUGUACAGGUGCAUGCUUGGUAUUAAAAUGCUGAAAACUGUCUAAACUUUGAGGAGGUAUGAGCUUUAUUGAUGAAAGUUUGAAAUUCUGGUCGAGAGGACACAAGGUGUGAGGUAGUGAUGAGGCUGCGAGUGACGUCCCCUUGGCGUUACUAGGCACGCCCCCCAGCUACAGGCAUGGAAAGGUCCAGAUUUUGACGGUUAACCUAUGUCAAGAUUUUUAUGGCUUGUUUCUCACAGGCUGGGCCAGGUAUGCACCAAAGCUUAUUGGCUACGGAAUGUUUGGGACUGAGCUACAGCGCUAGACGUUAACAUUGUCGCUUAUGGAAAAUUAAUGUGGGUCUGAGGCCUACUACCAUCUAGGAGGGACACAAUCAGUUCUAUUCAAGGGGUAUAACUCUCAAUAAACAUGAUUUCUUUGCAUUCGAUAGGGGUUACCCCCCUUCAAUCGCAUCUGCUCUUUAACUUAACAAACGCCUUGAAUUAAGUCGAAUUCGAUCACUCAAGCUUCACUGAAUGGACCCUAUUAAAACGUAUUCAUUUAAAAGUAUGCCUGUUUAUUCGUUUUGCAUUUUCAAUAUCAUAGAAUUAUUUGGAUUCAAACCCAAACGCUUUUUAAGGGUUAUGCAUACAACAUAUAUACAUGCAUGGGUCUAAAUUUUCGCCUUUAAUAUCACUGUUAAACCCAUUUCUACCCCCAGUCCGGACUGUCGUACUUAUUCAAGCCCGAACGCAAAUGUAUGGAUAACCAACAUCUGUUUUUACAUCUCGGUCGUCGUAUUUUUGAAGAUUAAUUGGAUAACUUGAUAACUUAUUUUAUUUGAUUUAACAGGCUCACAGCAUUUUGUUCUGAUUUCUCAAAUCUGGAAGACGGCUUCGACCGCCUUAGCGGAUAUGCAUUGAGAUACACAAAAUUGUUCUUCGUCCAUUUGUUCGAAAGUGUAUCAGCUAAUACUGGUAUUGAGUCAUUUUUACAUUUAAGAUUUUAGCCAAAUUCCUGUGCAGUUGUCAAAGUAUAAAAGCAGAAGAUUUAGUUCCUGUUUAAUAUAUUGUGACCCAAUCAUUUUUGAGCUAAGUAUAUUAAAUGGAAGAUUUGACUUAAUAUUAAAUGUGGUAUUAAUUCUUUUAAUUUAUAACUGUAUCCGAUAUAAUGCAAUAUAUAGCAGUUGUGUGUUUUGUUUAUACAUGUGUGGGAAUUUACCAUGAAUUGGCAAUGGCGCUUACCGAGAGGACUAAACUCGCCCUUUAUGUGUAUUAUCGCCAGUAUAAUGACUUAAAUCCUGCAAAUGUGUCGUUAAACUUUAACCAUUCAACCGUUUAAUUCGUUCAUUCACUACAUAUAUUCCGAACAAAACCAUUGAACAUUCCAUUAGGGAAUGCCAGGUGUAUUAUAGUGUUUUUUCCCCUCCGUAAUAUACGAUGUGUUUUCUCAAAGUUCACAGAUCCACAGGAGAGUUAAUUUGGAUGUUAAAAACUCUGAAAACUAUUCUCUUUGCGGAUGUUUCCUAGGUUGUCUAUGAGUAUCAUUACCUACAGUGCGCCAUUGAUGUAGGCACGCCGACAACUAAUGGGCCAAUUUUCAUCAAACGCGGGCUGGGAAUUUCAAGAGAUAUUUCUUUGCAGAGAUCUCUACAAUCAGACAUAAAUAAGCCUAUCACGUCUAAAGAUUCCUUAUUGGUAUGCCAGGAUAACGUUUUCUUGAAAUGAAAGGAUGGUGGAAUGUGGUCUGUAGGCGUAAUGUAAACAUGUCGAAGCACAGUCUUUACCACAAUGUCUUCUUAGAGUGGAGAUACGGUAUGCUUGGUGUGCAGGUGUACUCCAAGCAUGUCAAAGCACAUUGCUUAGUUGAAUGUCUUCCGGUAUAAUGGGAGCGUGGAAUGGUUGGGUCGGUCGGCGUAUACGCCAAAACAUUUCCAAGUACAUUCCGUACUUUACACAUAAAACCAUUACAAUGACUUUAUAGAACAAUAGUACAACAUUGGAACUACUUUGUUCGGGUGAUAAACGAAGAGCACGUGUCCACAUAUACACGCUAUGUCUCUUAAAUGAAGAACAUGUAGACUAUUUUUUAUACACUACUUCAGACUCGCAAUAGUGCACGUGCUCCUUGAUAAUGAUGAUGAAGUCAGGUCAUUUUCACAUUUCAAAUAUUACACGGUCAUGAUGAUCGAAAGUGCGUGUAACUGGAACGCCAUAUUAAAGACACGGGAAAUAGUAUACCGACACCCAACUGAACAUUGAAAUGAUUGAUUUAUUUAGUUGUUGCUUUAACGCCAUAAUUAUACCAAAAAAUUCUCACCAAAACAGCUGUUGGCUCUGUGGUUGGAGGAAACCCGAGUGUACAGAGUAAACCAUCGACUUUUGGCGAGGUGCUGGGAACUCUUCCACGUGUGACAUACGUCAUAUCGAUGGCAGGCAAGACCACCCUAAUGCACAAUCGAUCGACAUACCGGUGUUGCCCCGAGAGCCACUGAAGCUGGAGAAACUACACUAUUCCUUAUUCCAAUGUGACAAAUAUCCUGCCUAGCAAUAGUUACGAAAUAGGACUUUAUACCAAAUACUUUUACCUCCUAUACACUUCAAAGAGUCAAUCAUGAAAAUUCCAAAAUGUAGCUAUCACAGAAAUAAAUGCGACCACUGAAAGUCUUAAACUGAAAAGAUGCGGGUACUAUCCAAUUUUAGCCACUUGUACAGUGUGUCUUGAAUGGUUUUGUAUUUGGUAUGUCUUGUACCAGCAUACACUAUCAUGCAGCAUUUAAUAAUCUGUAAGUUCUUUCUUCUUUCUUAAUAGAAUUCACAAUAAAUCUCCUGAAUUAUACAUUUCCUGAAUUACCAUAUGGAGAGGGUGGUUAAGAGAUAUAAUCUGUGAGAGUGGACGUUUCAGAGAGAAAGCAUUUCUGCACCAUGGAAACCUCAGCGUAAAGCUGAAUAUUAUGAAUAAAAUUUGUCCAACAAAUGUUGAAUAUUACAACCAGUUUCUACAAGGAGCACGUGGCUAUGUGAAUGUGGCUUUGGAAGGGAGAGAUUUGUUAAGAAACCCCAAGGGAAGAAUUAUCUCAGAAUAAAAGCACUGAUUAUGGAUCCAAAAUAAAGUGCUUCAGCGAAUAUCAGACCUUAUGUAAACUUUUAGGUUGACUGGUUGCAAAAAUCGAUACGUAGAGUAACCGAUAACCCAGUAAUCAAGAGCACCGCUGAUGUACGGGGGCAAGACAGACAGGGGUGUCGUCCUGAGGAAUUGUGUACAGCGAUGAUUACCCUACUCUGAGUUUUGUUACUGAAGAGAAUAUUUUUCACCAAGACUGGUAUCUAGACUUACAAAUCCUUGCCUGCAGAGUUUCACUGUCAAAUAUAUUGCUCUUAAGGAAAAUUUAAACAUACUUCCCACGCAGGAAAACUGUUCAUACAGUUCAAUAUCAGAUUUAUUGUCAGUUGUUUCUUGUUUUCUAUGAAACUACUUUGGAAGGUAGAUAAAGGAUCUGCCACUUUUUAAAAAAAAAUAUACUAGUUUGGCGUAAAUAAUCAAACCCGAUCUCAGUUAACUCUAAGGAUUUGUCUAACACAUUGGAGGGUAAAAAAGAUCGUAAUGUCACGGGAAGUAAUACUAAUAACAGGGACAAACACAUGGUUACCAGGGACCUUUUAUUCCAAACUCUAUUAUUUUAACGGUACGUUAAAUGCUUACAUCCCGCUAUCCUUUCAACGGGCUGUUAGUUAACGGACCGUUAAAUUCCUGUUGCUGGAAACCAAAAAGUUCCCUCCUUUAACUAACGGCUCUGUUAAAAUUUAACUCCAAGUUAUCACUAAAUAAUUUCCCACAAUUCGUUGGUAUAAAUCCCACGAUGCUUUGCACCUGGGCAACAACAUGGCUGCCAUAUCAGAAGGUGAACCGAUUGCGACCCCCCCACUCCCAUCCCCAAAUAAAAAUAAACAAGAGAUGAGGAAAAUAUUAUUCAGUCAGUGGUGAAGACCUAUUCAGAAACAGUUAACGCCAAACUCUGCAAUGACGUUACUAACAGGCAAAACGCAGCAGUUUGGCAAAAAAUCACUGACAGUGUCAAUAUGAAGGUAACAAAUGACAGGCACUCUCUUUCUCCCACAGAGUUGCUUUGACAGUUACCAACGCUGAUGCUACCACUGGAGGCUAUCUAUGUUGAUGCUCUAGGCAAAUUGCAAUGUAAAACCAUUUUUUCGCCCUAAUAAGAAAUCCAAGGAAUUUAAUGUCAGGAAACCGUCCUAAACUGCAUAUUAAGGAAUAGAAUUCAAACGUUUUAUUUCUCCUGUAAAUACAAGGUAUAAACAGAGAUGCUCACAUUUCCCUUAAGCCCUAGUUAUAUUAAGGGGAAUGGGGCAUGCUUAUAUGAUACUGAAUGUAAGGUACCCUGAAAGUAUCGAUUUUAUCUAUCAAUUAGCUGCUCACAAAAUUAAAAAAAAAAGCUGAGAUAGUAGGCAAAUUACAGAGUAUCGUUGUUAAAAUAUAUGGUUUCUUCUUUAAACAGAUGUGUCGAAGGAUGAAGUCAUUCUUGGUUCGUAGGAUAUCACAAGGGUAACGAGAUGUAAUUUGAAUUCCAUAUGCCAUCACAAAGUUUUUUGAAAAUAUUUUGUCAUAAUAACUUGAGCUCAUGGCAAUGCAGAGGAAUGUGAUUUAUGACGUUGUUUGAAAAUGAUUCUUAUUUUCUGAGAACAGGUGAUUUGUAGUGUCAACACUGAAAUUACCCCUUUAGUCCUUCAGGCUACAAUUAGAUAAUCUAUAUAUUGCCUAUUAGGUUGGUUGACAAAUAAUUCUGUAAUUAGUAAAUCUGAAA